rnacentral:rRNA from 1 species
UACGUAGGUGGCAAGCGUUGUCCGGAAUUAUUGGGCGUAAAGCGCGCGCAGGCGGCUUCUUAAGUCUGAUGUGAAAGCCCACGGCUCAACCGUGGAGGGUCAUUGGAAACUGGGGAGCUUGAGUACAGAAGGGGAGAGUGGAAUUCCAUGUGUAGCGGUGAAAUGCGUAGAUAUAUGGAGGAAUACCGAUGGCGAAGGCAGCCCCCUGGGAUAAUACUGACGCUCAGGCACGAAAGCGUGGGGAGCAAACAGG